rnacentral:rRNA from 1 species
GUGGGGAAUCUUGCGCAAUGGGCGAAAGCCUGACGCAGCCAUGCCGCGUGAAUGAUGAAGGUCUUAGGAUUGUAAAAUUCUUUCACCGGGGACGAUAAUGACGGUACCCGGAGAAGAAGCUCCGGCUAACUUCGUGCCAGCAGCCGCGGUAAUACGAAGGGGGCUAGCGUUGCUCGGAAUUACUUGGCGUAAAGGGCGCGUAGGCGGACAGCUUAGUCAGAGGUGAAAGCCCAGGGCUCAACCUUGGAAUUGCCUUUGAUACUGGCUGUCUUGAGUUUGGGAGAGGUGAGUGGAACUCCGAGUGUAGAGGUGAAAUUCGUAGAUAUUCGGAAGAACACCAGUGGCGAAGGCGACUCACUGGCCCAAUACUGACGCUGAGGCGCGAAAGCGUGGGGAGCAAACAGGAUUAGAAACCCGAGUAGUCC